rnacentral:rRNA from 1 species
UAUUGGUCAAUGGGCGCGAGCCUGAACCAGCCAAGUCGCGUGAGGGAGGACGGCCCUCCGGGUUGUAAACCUCUUUUGCCGGGGAGCAACGGGCGUCCCGUGUGGCGCCACUGAGAGUACCCGGAGAAAAAGCAUCGGCUAACUCCGUGCCAGCAGCCGCGGUAAUACGGAGGAUGCGAGCGUUAUCCGGAUUUAUUGGGUUUAAAGGGUGCGUAGGCGGAUCGUUAAGUCAGUGGUCAAAUUGAGGGGCUCAACCCCUUCCCGCCAUUGAAACUGGCGAUCUUGAGUGGAAGAGAAGUAUGCGGAAUGCGUGGUGUAGCGGUGAAAUGCAUAGAUAUCACGCAGAACCCCGAUUGCGAAGGCAGCAUGCCGGCUUCCGACUGACGCUGAAGCACGAAAGCGUGGGGAUCGAACAGG